CUCAAUGAAUUGGCGGGGGGGCACCACCAGGAGUGGAGCCUGCGGCUUAAUUUGACUCAACACGGGGAAACUCACCAGGUCCAGACACAAUAAGGAUUGACAGAUUGAGAGCUCUUUCUUGAUUUUGUGGGUGGUGGUGCAUGGCCGUUCUUAGUUGGUGGAGUGAUUUGUCUGCUUAAUUGCGAUAACGAACGAGACCUUAACCUCUAAAUAGGGCUGUUAGCAUUUUGCUGGCGAGCGCUUCUUAGGGGGACUAUUGACUUGAAGUCGAUGGAAGUUUGAGGCAAUAACAGGUCUGUGAUGCCCUUAGACGUUCUGGGCCGCACGCGCGCUACACUGACGGAGCCAGCGAGUUGACCUUGGCCGAGAGGUCUGGGAAAUCUUGAGAAACUCCGUCGUGCUGGGGAUAGAGCAUUGCAAUUUUUGCUCCUCAACGAGGAAUUCCUAGUAAGCGCAAGUCAUCAGCUUGCGUUGAUUACGUCCCUGCGCCUUGUACACACCGCCCG
rnacentral:rRNA from 1 species